GACGAACGCUGGCGGCGUGCUUAACACAUGCAAGUCGAACGGUAAGGCCCUUCGGGGUACACGAGUGGCGAACGGGUGAGUAACACGUGGGUGAUCUGCCCUGCACUUCGGGAUAAGCCUGGGAAACUGGGUCUAAUACCGGAUAGGACCACUGCCUGCAUGGGGGGUGGUGGAAAGCUUUUGCGGUGUGGGAUGGGCCCGCGGACUAUCAGCUUGUUGGUGGGGUGAUGGCCUACCAAGGCGACGACGGGUAGCCGGCCUGAGAGGGUGACCGGCCGCACUGGGACUGAGAUACGGCCCAGACUCCUACGGGAGGCGGCAGUGGGGAAUAUUGCACAAUGGGCGCAAGCCUGAUGCAGCGACGCCGCGUGAGGGAUGACGGCCUUCGGGUUGUAAACCUCUUUCAGCACCGACGAAGCGCAAGUGACGGUAGGUGCAGAAGAAGGACCGGCCAACUACGUGCCAGCCGCCGCGGUAA
rnacentral:rRNA from 1 species